GGGGUUUGACAUAUAAAUGAAGUAAACAGAGAUGUUUAUGCCUUUCGGGGCGUUUAUAC
rnacentral:rRNA from 1 species